UUGGCCAAUUAACUUGAAGGAUGUAUAGUUCUAAUAGUAAGGGUGCUUUUUUAAACUCCUUUAAAAGUUAUUCUCUUUGAGAAGUCCUUAGGGCUUAUUGGUAGUGACCUUAAGUGUGUUGGAUUUUAUGAUGCACGUGGUUGGCGGGUGAUUGCAUGCAUUUGUAGGGAAUGGUCUCACCUUAAAGGGAUGAAGAAAAAAUAAAAAAUCCCAAAACCCGUCACGAGUUUGGAAGAAUGGCUUUGGUCUUGGGUUUGCUCCCCACAGACAUGAGUUCGUUUUCCCUCUCUGUGGGUUACCAGUCACGAGUUUGGGUGAACGACUUUGGUCGUGAGUUUGCUCCCCACAGACACGAUUCGGGAGAAUGGCUUUGGUCGUGGGUUUGCUCCCCACAGACACAAGUUCAAUUCCCUUUCUCAUGGAUUACCCAUCAUGAGUUUUUGCGAACGACUUUGGUCGUGGGUUUGCUCCCCACAGACAGGAGUUCGAUUCCCCUCCUCGUGGUUUACUCAAUGCACGUGGUGUAAUAGGGGAUUU